rnacentral:rRNA from 1 species
AUUGAACGCUGGCGGCAGGCUUAACACAUGCAAGUCGCGCGGAGAUGAGGUGCUUGCACCUUAUCUUAGCGGCGGACGGGUGAGUAAUGCUUAGGAAUCUGCCUAUUAGUGGGGGACAACAUUCCGAAAGGAAUGCUAAUACCGCAUACGCCCUACGGGGGAAAGCAGGGGCCCUUCGGACCUUGGGCUACUAGAUGAGCCUAAGUCGGAUGAGCUAGGUGGUGGGGUAAAGGCCUACCAAGGCGACGAUCUGGAGCGGGUCUGAGAGGAGGAUCCGCCACACUGGGACUGAGACGCGGCCCAGACUCCUACGGGAGGGAGCAGUGGUGAAUGUUGGACAAUGGGCGGAAACCUGAUCCAGCCAUGCCGCGUGUGUGAAGGAGGCCUUUUGGUUGUAAAGCACUUUAAGCGAGGAGGAGGCUUCCUGGAUUAAUACUCUAGGGUAGUGGGCGUUACUCGCAGAAUAAGCACCGGCUAACUCUGUGCCAGCCGCCGCCGUAAGAC